rnacentral:rRNA from 1 species
UUGACCUCGGAUCAGGCAGGGAUACCCGCUGAACUUAAGCAUAUCAAUAAGCGGAGGAAAAGAAACCAACAGGGAUUGCCUCAGUAACGGCGAGUGAAGCGGCAACAGCUCAAAUUUGAAAUCUGGCUCUUUUAGGGUCCGAGUUGUAAUUUGUAGAGGAUGCUUCGGCGUCGGCUCCGGUCUAAGUUCCUUGGAACAGGACGUCAUAGAGGGUGAGAAUCCCGUAUGUGAUCGGUUGCCCUUGCCAUGUGAAGCUCCUUCGACGAGUCGAGUUGUUUGGGAAUGCAGCUCUAAAUGGGAGGUAAAUUUCUUCUAAAGCUAAAUACUGGCCAGAGACCGAUAGCGCACAAGUAGAGUGAUCGAAAGAUGAAAGCACUUUGGAAAGAGAGUCAAAAGUACGUGAAAUGUGAAAGGGAGCGCUUGCACAGACUGCUGCAGUGCUCAUCGGGCUUUGCCGGUGCACUCUUCUGCUGUCAGGC